CAGUAGCCGCGGGAAUACGUAGGGUGCAAGCGUUAAUCGGAAUUACUGGGCGUAAAGCGUGCGCAGGCGGUUUUGUAAGACAGAGGUGAAAUCCCCGGGCUCAACCUGGGAACUGCCUUUGUGACUGCAAGGCUAGAGUACGGCAGAGGGGGAUGGAAUUCCGCGUGUAGCAGUGAAAUGCGUAGAUAUGCGGAGGAACACCGAUGGCGAAGGCAAUCCCCUGGGCCUGUACUGACGCUCAUGCACGAAAGCGUGGGGAGCAAACAGGAUUAGAUACCCGCGUAGUCCCUGUCUCUUAUAC
rnacentral:rRNA from 1 species